rnacentral:rRNA from 1 species
AUUGAACGCUGGCGGUAGGCCUAACACAUGCAAGUCGAACGAGUGGCGGACGGGUGAGUAAUGUCUGGGAGACUGCCUGAUGGAGGGGGAUAACUACUGGAAACGGUAGCUAAUACCGCAUACCAUCGGAUGUGCCCAGAUGGGAUUAGCUAGUAGGUGGGGUAACGGCUCACCUAGGCGACGAUCCCUAGCUGGUCUGAGAGGAUGACCAGCCACACUGGAACUGAGACACGGUCCAGACUCCUACGGGAGGCAGCAGGGGGGAAUAUUGCACAAUGGGCGCAAGCCUGAUGCAGCCAUGCCGCGUGUAUGAAGAAGGCCUUCGGGUUGUAAAGUACUUUCAGCGGGGAGGCGGUACCCGCAGAAGAAGCACCGGCUAACUCCGUGCCAGCAGCCGCGGUAAUUC